rnacentral:tRNA from 1 species
GGAGGUGUGACUCAGCAGCAAGGGUCCCUGCCUAGCAAGCAUGAGAACCUGAGUUCAAACCUGAGUACUGCCA